rnacentral:rRNA from 1 species
GAUGAACGCUGGCGGCGUGCUUAACACAUGCAAGUCGAACGGUGAACACGGAGCUUGCUCUGUGGGAUCAGUGGCGAACGGGUGAGUAACACGUGAGCAACCUGCCCCUGACUCUGGGAUAAGCGCUGGAAACGGCGUCUAAUACUGGAUACGAGUAGCGGCCGCAUGGUCAGUUACUGGAAAGAUUUUUUGGUUGGGGAUGGGCUCGCGGCCUAUCAGCUUGUUGGUGAGGUAAUGGCUCACCAAGGCGUCGACGGGUAGCCGGCCUGAGAGGGUGAACGGCCACACUGGGACUGAGACACGGCCCAGACUCCUACGGGAGGCAGCAGUGGGGAAUAUUGCACAAUGGGCGGAAGCCUGAUGCAGCAACGCCGCGUGUGGGAUGACGGCCUUCGGGUUGUAAACCUCUUUUAGCAGGGAAGAAGCGAAAGUGACGGUACCUGCAGAAAAAGCGCCGGCUAACUACGUGCCAGCCGCCGCCGUAA